rnacentral:rRNA from 1 species
GACGGGGGGGGCAAGUGUUCUUCGGAAUCACUGGGCGUAAAGGGCGCGUAGGCGGCUCAUGAAGGCUGUGGUGAAAGUCCGGGGCUCAACCUCGGAUCGGCCGUGGCGACUCGUGGGCUGGAGCACUGUAGAGGCGGGUGGAAUUCCGGGUGUAGCGGUGGAAUGCGUAGAGAUCCGGAAGAACACCAGUGGCGAAGGCGGCCCGCUGGGCAGUGGCUGACGCUGAGGCGCGACAGCGUGGGGAGCAAACAGG